ACUGAGGCAUUUUUACUACUAUUCUGUUAAAAUCAGGAUUUUAGUGUUUGUCAUCACCUGAUGAGAAGUGAAGAAGCAGCCUUUCUGUGGAGAGUAAGAAUAAUUGUACAAAAUAGAGAAAUG